AAGAUAUGCCUGCAGAGAAGGAAGACUUCCAUUUAAUGAAGGACAGCAACUAGCACUCUCAGUUAUGGAAUAUUUUCAGGUAAAGAGAGGAUUGCCUGAAGAGACUAAUUGUACCUGAUUUCAAUUGAUAUAAGGGUGGAUUAAAAGUCGCAAACUGAUGUUCUUGUCAUACAGAAACAGAUUUUGUAAUGAAGCAUAGCAGAAGAAAAUACGCUCAAGAAUGCUUAACGUCUAACAGAAGGAAGGAAGGAAGGCC